AUUAUUUCUAGUUGGAAAAUUAUUUUGGAAACAAAACUGUUUAUGUAAAAGCAACUUUGCACACAAAUAGUGAGCCUCCAGUACAACAUGUUCAUAGGCUGAGAGGACCAGAUUGUACAGAUGGUGUCUGUAUAAAAAAAGUAGAUAAAACCAGUAUUGUUGUCUUCCAGAAUUUAAGCAUUGAAUUUGUUGGCAAAAGAGAAUUAUCAAAUAUAAUAUAUGAAAGAAAACAGAAGGAAUUACAGUUUCAACUAUGUGAUGAAGGUAAAUAUUAAUGUAAUUUUUAUGAAACAAGAAUUUACUUUAUUAAACACAACUAAACAUAAAACACCCUUUUUUUUAACUCCAGCAAAAAUAUUUAAUUACAAAUGUUUUCAAUCUAUUUAAUGUUAUCAUUAGGUAACAUGUUUGACACAGAAAUCUGAUUUGAAAUUUCAGGUAUACAUAGAAUAUAUACAAAAAUAGAAUUAUAAAAAGUAAAAUUACCUAAAAUAUGAAUUAUAAUAUAACUACAAAUAUUAAAAAAAUAAAUAAAGUAAGUAGCAAUGCAAAAGUAAG